UCCAUCUCAACCAGGUGCGGUCGCGGCCUCCGGGGGUUCUCUCCCGGGUGGUAGGGGUAACACCCUCACGCGCCGUAUUUCUGAAUCCUUUUUUUACGAGCACCUUUCGUUCUCCUUCGGCGGGGCAACCUGCCGUUGGAACUAUACAAAACCUUUUUUUGCAUCUAGCAUUACCUGUUCUGAUACAAACAAUCGUUA
rnacentral:misc_RNA from 1 species